ensembl:lncRNA
CACUCUGAGUCAGGCCUAGGUCAAAAGGUCAACAACGUAAAACCCAGUUCCGAUACAUUCCCGAGCACAAACACACCCCACACACACACUAGCAUGCAUACGAACCUGUUCAUAAAGUCGAGCACUUCGAAAGUUUUAACAUCGGAAAAGGUUCGACCGAAUUUCCAGAGUCUAUUCUUCACUACUUCCAGAAUCAAACACUUCGAAAGUUUGAACAUCGGCAAAGUUCAACAGAAUUUCCAGAGUCUAUCCUUCACUACUUCCAGACACCAUGGAUUUCUCGGCAGACAGCUUGGUGAUUAUUUCUGAUGAUGAGAUUCCCGAAACAACCACUCAUGGCCUUUUGAAUCUGAGCUCCACACAAUUUGAGGGAAACGUGACUAACAGUGAUUACGACGGAGAUAUUUCAGAUACGAGUGAUGCAAUAGAAGACCAAGAGGAGAUCAUCUCGGAAACCGACAUUCACAAGACAUCGAACUACAACGGAUCUGCGCAGUGUGGCGUGAAUUCUUCGAAGCAAGACUGAUUUAUUGGAAAACUUUGGACAGAUUGAUUAUACACUUGAAUCUGGUCGAGGUACAGAUUUUAUCCCUUUACUGUAUAGCACGCUUGAAAAUGUGAAUAGAACCAGAUUUCGCUGCACUGUGUUUCGGUAUCAACCGGUGACGACACACCCGAUCACAAAGAGAUCAUAAUUAUUGUUGCAUGUUCUUUACCAUAUAGCUUUCCCAUGAAUACCAACUCAACCCACUAUCCCCCCCAUCAGGUUGUUGGUUGUUUUCCCUGAGUCAGGCCUUGGUCAAAAAGGUCUAUGAUAAUUAUUGACACACACACACACACAUAUACGAACCUGUCUAUAAAAGCGAACACUUCGUUAGUUGGAAAAUUGGAAAAAUCAGCAAAGAGUCGAAUAGUUCGAAGGGAUCGACAGAAUUUCCAGACUCUAUCCUUCAAAACUUCCAGACACCAUGGAUUUCUCAGCAGGUAAGAAGAUGUAUUUUAAACAAUUGAAAUAGUUCAUUAUAAAUUGAAAUGCAAUGUUUAUGUAAUUAUCCAUUUGAUAUUGAUAUUGAUAUAAAUCUAAAACUAUUCUUUCUGAAUACAACAAUCAUCAUCCUUAUCUGGUCAUUAUGUAAACGGGUACGCUACUAUAUCUAAAUUUAGUGUUCAAUACACUUAUAUUACAGAGCAAGACCGAACUAAGCUCGUCUGAUUCUAGUGUAUAGGAUAACGUAUCAAACGAAUGCGAGUCUACAAGAUAACAGUGCCGUCAUAAUUUCUGACGAUGAAAUUUCCGAGACAUCUGAUCGAAGCCUUUUGAAUCUGAGCUCUACACGUAAGUCAUAACAUAAAAUUUUACAUGGUUUACAUGAAUAAGCAGAAAUGUAAUCAUGCUUUUCUUUCCUAUAGCACAAAUGAAAAUCCCUCUCUAGACGAGCAGAUUUGUCAGAUGAAACCUUUUCCUUCUUAUCCACUGCUACGGUAAACUAAAGAGUAGAUUUUCAAAUUACACUGCUAAAUAUGACUAGCAUUAGCUACGUGUAGUAGUGCAAAAAUAGUCCAUCAACUGUAUUAGCAGGUGUAGCCUAUACACGAGUCCACUGCUGGUCAUAUCACUAUUGAGAACGUGUCCCAAAUUCACUGCUUUAGUAGAAUUUAAUUGUAAGUGAAAUGAUGCUCACACUGUAAUGUCCUUUGUAUUUGUUCAGUCCACAGGUCCUCUAACACUCUGUUAAAUGAAUAAAUGUAAAUGUACUACAACGUAGAUUUUGUUUUAAAUCAAUUAAUGCAGAAAUUACACACAAUAUUAUCAACAUUAUUAUGUCAACACAACUCAUCAAAAUAAUGUGUACAACUUUAAAUAUUUAAUGAAUUCAAUAAAUUAGAAUUUUUAUCUUGCAACCACACAUUAAAUUUAGAUUGUGGGGGUUUGCUUUGUAUAGCGCCGCUGUUAGAAAAUACAUGAUGGUUGAACGUGAACAUAAAUGAGCAGAAUGUAAGCUUGUGAAAUAAAUGAAACUUUAUUGAUUGCAGUUUUGAGAAAAUGGCAUGACUUUGAAUAAAAAUUUACUGAAAUAAAUACUCUAAAACAUUGAUAUACCCGAAGAAAUGUAAAAAAAAAAAAAAAAAAAAAAAAAAAAAGUUUUUACAUACCUUCUAAAUAGGUCCCUUCAGGAGGUAAACGUUUUAAAGACGGUGUUUUAUAAGAAACGCGCGUAUUACAUGCCUUCUAAACCUAACCCUUUAGGAUGUGAAAUGUUUAAAGUGUUGCUUAAAAGAAUCGAGAGUUUUGUUUAAACUAGAAGACACAUUUUUCGGGCGAUGUCUUGUAGGCCCAUACACACUCUCCUACACAUGUGUUUUCCCGGGGUGACAGUUCUGUAGAUAGUGUAAAUUUUACAUUUAUGAGCUCUGGUGACAGUGUCUGAAGUGUGUGUGUAUGUGGGUGUGGGGGUGUGCGUGCGUGUGUGUGGGUGUGUUAGAAAGAGAGAGAGAGAGAGAGAAGAGAGAGAGAGAGAGAGAGAGAGAGAGAGAGAGAGAGAGAGAGAGAGUGAGUCAUGUGUUUCCUGGGGGUUUGCUGACCAGACUGCUUACAGUGUGUUUAUGUUAAUGAAAUAAGGGAUGAGUCGUGUGUUUCAGGGUUUAACGAUCCCUACCAAUGUGUACAUUUGUGGUUUAAGUGAAUCUUUGUUUCUGAAAUUACUUCUGUCGUAAUUAUCAGUUCGUGUAACUAAUCUAUCAGAAAAUACUAGACCUGGUGACUGAAUGUGGUAGAUGUAUUAGAAUUUUGGACAUGUUAUGCAUGUGUAGCGUAUACCUGUGUACCCUAUGUGUAUGAUCUAUGUGUAAUCCUUCUGUCAAGAGAUGAACAGACUGAGGUUUGUGAAAUAAUUGAACGAUU